AGAGUGCCAAUGCCAGAAACAAUAUGUGGGGAAAACCAGGCAAACGCUGCAGAAAAGAAUAACCAGACAUAGGAAAAAACCUAGGGCAGCGACAUAGAACAGCAGACCAAGAUUCGGCCUGUGCAAACUCCUCCAAGUGGUUUUCAAUAAGGUCUGCUAGCUUGUUCAUGACUCUUGAUCUGUCUUGGGCGCUCCAAGUAGACCAGAUGGGGAAUGCAGCUUUGGCAGCAUCGACUGCUGCACCAACCUGAUAAAGUUGUGGAACCUACGCUAAACUUGACAAGCUUGCAUUUAUAUUGCUAACGUUGCAAGAAACGUCAGACUUUCGAAAUGAUAUAAUACAAGUAUAAAAGUUUUAUUUUUAGGACCAUAAAGCAAAAACAUAACCCCUCUCACUAGUCUUAUCAGAGUGUGAUCUAAAAGGGGUUCGAAGGCAAGCAACAGUGUAUAAACAAGAUGACUAAUAGAGCAAUGUGGGAAUCAUAUGGUGGCGUGAGAAAAAGAAGCCUCAAGCUCAAGCAUCAAGCGAAAUGUCUCACAGACACGCAGCCCCAGAAACGUUCAGACACACAGUCACCUGUGAGGAGAUUCGUUUCAAGAUUUUGGAUAAAUUAUUCAACAGUCAGUAUCAGUUUGACAGCAUGUUCCAGUUUCAGGUGCAGAAAGGGCUUUCAGAAGUUGUCCCAAAACAGAUGCUGUGAAGUAAAAUAGAGCAUCCUUCGAUAGCAGACUUCAGCAUUGUCUA